rnacentral:lncRNA from 1 species
GAGAGCCGGGCGGUGUUCUGGGUCGGCUGCGGGCGCGGUGCGAGUGUCUCGGCGUAGGAGGGCAGGGCGGCCGGCCCCUCCCACUCCGCCUUUUCUCGAGUGUCCAUACCCGGGCCUGGCAGCGGGCGCCGGGCUGCGGGCGAGUGUGCGCGGCGACCCGGGGCACCGAAGGCGGUGGGUGUGCGAGGACCGCGGCUGACCUGUUGGCGUCAUGCGCGCCCUCCAGGGUCUGCGGGGGCCUCGGGCGCCGUCCCUGCCGCUGCUCCUCCUGUGCUUCCUCGCCGCGGUGCGCCGGAGCUUGGAGGACGGCCUCUCCACAGCUGCACCUUUUACAAGUCUACCUGUCCAGGAAGAAAUGAUGACAGAGUACUCUAAUCUUUCUUUGGAGAGUCAUAACCUAUCAGUGACUGAGGUCCCCACUCUAGUAUUUGGAGUGUAUUCCUUCUUGCCAAAAGGAAUCAUCACCCUCCUGUGUUGUGUGCCUGUUGGUUUACUUUUCACAAGUUUUAAUGCUGCACCUAUUACAAGUCUACCUGUCGAGGAAGAAAUGAUGACAAAGGCUGCACCUAUUACAAGUCUGCCUGUCCAGGAAGAAAUGAAGACAAAGGCUGUACCUAUUAUAAGUCUGCCUGUCCAGGAAGAAAUGACGACAAAAUACUCUAACCUUACCUUGGAGAGUCAUAGCAUAUCAAUGACUGAACGCCCCAAUAUGCCAGCAGAAAAAAAUAUCACUUUAGAAAGACCUUCUAAUGUAGAACUCACAUGCCAAUUCACACCAUCUGGAAAUUUGAAUGCAGUAAAUGUGACUUGGAAAAAAGGUGAUAAACUACUUGAGGAUAAUUAUCUCGUCAAUGCAACGGGAAGUAUCCUAUAUACCCAAUAUAGGGUCGCCGUCAUUAACAGCAAACAGAUGGGAAGCUAUUCUUGUUUCUUUGGAGAGAAAAAGCAACAAAGGGGCACAUUUAAUUUGAAAGUUCCUGAAAUUAAUGGAAAAAACAAACCACUGAUCACUUACGUGGGGGAUACAGUUGUUUUGAUAUGUAAAUGUCAAGAUUGUCUUCCUUUAAAUUGGACCUGGUACAGUGGCAAUGGGAGUGUACAGGUUCCUAUUGGUGUUCCAGUGAAUGAUAAGUAUGUGAUCAGUGGAAAACAUGCUAAUGAAACAAGGCUGAAGAUAACGCAACUUUCAGAGGACGAUCAGGGAACCUACUGGUGCCAUGCAAUAUUCGAGUUAGGGGAGAGUGAAGGACACGUUGAACUCGUCGUGCUCAGCUAUUUGGUACCCCUUAAAGCAUUUUGUGCAAUAGCUGCCGAGGUUGUUCUCUUAGUGGCUAUUAUUCUGCUUUUUGAAAUGUAUACUCAAAAGAAAAAGAAGCCCUCAGAUGAUGGGAAAGAAAUCGAACAAGGUGAACAGCUGAAAUUGGAUGAUAGCAAUGGUAUAGAAAACAGCGGCCCUAGGCACAGAAAAAAUGAAUCCGUGGGCCAGUGAGUGACAAACAUCAUGUCAGGAGUCACAGGAAGACAUACAGAGAGUUUGCAUUUCAGCUUUAUUUCUGCUUCUUGUUAAGAACGUGUGACAUUUUUUACUUUUAAAAGGAUGAAAAGUUUAUGUAAAAUGCUCAGUAGUAGCUUUGUAAAUAAUAUAUGCAAUUUCAGAUCUACAGAUAUAUUUUCAUUCUAUAUUUUGCACUAAAGCAAGGUAAAUUAUAUUAAGUUUGUGCUAUGAGCUAUAACCCAGGAUAAUUAAUUUCAUUCCAGUCCUUAAGGGACACGCAGAACGACACCAGCAAAACCAAAUAGUACACAGAGUGAAUGUCACUCAAGACCUGUUUAUUACCAAAGAAUUCAUUAAAUACAAAGCUUUGCCAUUUGUCUUAAAAAGGUUUUUUCCCCAAUCAUGUUUACUAGGUGAAGUGUUUGUAAUAAUUCCCUGUAAAGUUUAUUCAAUUCAGUCAUAUUGAAAAGAAGUGUUAUCAAGGGGAAAUUAGCACUUUCUACCUCUGUUAAUGAUGGUUACUGUGCAGUUACCACAAGGAAAACAUACUUUUCCUAUGAAAACAUUGGUUGAAGGCAAAGAAAUAAAACCAUACACUUGCCCA